AACGUAGGACACAAGCGUUAUCCGGAGUUACUGGGCGUAAAGGGCGUGUAGGCGGAGAUGUAAGUCUAUUCUGAAAGCUCCUGGCUAAACUGGGAGAGGCGAAUGGAGACUGCAUAUCUAGAGUGAGGAAGAGGAAAGUGGAAUUCCGCGUGUAGUGGUGAAAUGCGUAGAUAUCUGGAGGAACAUCAGUGGCGAAGGCGACACCCUGGACUCAUACUGACGCUGAGGAGCGAAAGCCAGGGGAGCAAACGGG
rnacentral:rRNA from 1 species